UCUCUCAGGUCUCCCAGCAUCGACGUGUAUGCGUUUCGCGUUUUACUAAACGCAUCCGUGCUAAGGGACACUUACAAUGAGACCCCAGCACGGAUGCUGCUCCGCUCAUAGUGCGUAAA
rnacentral:snRNA from 1 species